rnacentral:rRNA from 1 species
GACGAACGCUGGCGGCGUGCCUAACACAUGCAAGUCGAGCGGAGUUAUCCGAGCGGAAGUUUUCGGAUGGAAGCAUGGAUAACUUAGCGGCGGGCGGGUGAGUAACGCGUGGGCAAUCUGCCUUUUACAGGGGGAUAACACAGGGAAACCUGUGCUAAUACCGCAUAAAACUGCACUGUGGCAUCACAGAGUAGCCAAAGGAGCAAUCCGGGUAAAAAGAGGAGCCCCGCGUCUGAUUAGCUAGUUGGUGAGGUAACGGCUCACCAAGCCGACGAUCAGUAGGGGUUCUGAGAGGAAGGUCCCCCACAUUGGAACUGAGACACGGUCCAAAACUCCUACGGGAGGCAGCAGUGAGGAAUAUU